GGCUUUUGUGGAAUGUAAAAAGUUCUACGAAUAAGGACUGGGUAAGACUAGUGCCAGCCGCCGCGGUAAUACUAGCGGUCCAAGUCGCAGCCAUUCUUAUUGGGUCUAAAACAUCCGUAGCUUUGCUUGAUAAGUUUUCUGUGAAAUCUCAUAUCUCAAGUAUAAGAAUUGUGGAAAAUACUGCCAAGCUAGAGACCGGGAGACGUAAAGAGUACGUCUAAAGUAGCGGUAAAAUGUGUUGAUCUUAGGCGGACUGACGAUAGCGAAGGCACUUUACGAGAACGGUUCUGACAGUAAGGGAUGAAGGCUAGGGGCGCAAAACGGAUUAGAUACCCGUGUAGUCCUAGCAGUAAACACUGCACACUAAACCUUGUGAUCUCUUCGAGAGAUUGCAGGGCUGCAGGGAAGCCGAAGAGUGUGCUACCUGGGAAGUAUAGUCGCAAGGCUGAAACUUAAAGGAAUUGGCGGGGAGACACUACAACGGGUGACGCGUGCGGUUCAAUUAGAUUAUACACCGUGAACCUCACCAGGAGCGACAGCAGAAUGAAGGUCAGUCUAAAGGGCUUACCUAACACGCUGAGAGGGGUUGCAUGGCCGACGUCAGCCUGUGCUGUGAGGCGAUCUGUUAAAUCAGAUAACAGGCAAGACCCACAUCUUUAUUUAC
rnacentral:rRNA from 1 species